ACGACCUGACGAGGCAGGACCCGAGGGAGUGCGCGCCCGGAGCGCGGCAGCGAACUCCGCCCCGUGCAAAGGGGGGUGCGCUUGCAGGAGGGCGCUCGCGCUGUGGUGCAGGCCGGUCCUCAAGGCGCUCUGCGGUAACCCUGAUUAAUACCCUCAGUAUAAAGCGGGGGAGGCAGAUUGGUGGUCUCCAGAAAGCAGUGUCCAGAAGGCAUCCACUAAGGAAAUGAGCUUCCGGAAGAACUAAGUGCCUGAUUGGAUCCCAGAAGCUUGACUGACACUGUGGACACACUGGAGAAGCAGACCCCUCUCCUGCUUCCAGAGGAAGGUGAUCCCAUCUAUGGAUCCUGGCCAAAGACAGUGUCAUGUAAUGCUGCUCCAGCAUGGAUGUUAGAAGCCCAGCUGCAGAGGAGACUGCAGAGUCUCCAGGGCCUCCCUGGUGGCCAGGAGAGCCUCUGGGGUCCCUACACAACAACACGGAGGCCCAUCAGCUUCCUGUGGAGGUGGCACACUUCAUGAGGGCGCGAGGCAGGAGGACCCUCACCCUGUGCCUGGCCGGGCUGCGUGGUUUUGGACAGGGCUGUGAGGAGGGCCUGCAGGGCCCUCUGCCUGCACGAGGCCCCUCUGCUCUCCAAAGCAUUCUUCUGUUCUCAGGCAUCUGGGAAGGGCAAGGGCUGAGCUCCUGGCCCAGCGGGGCUUGGAGGCUGCUGACAUAUGGCUGAUUCUGCAGCUCUGCAGGAAGGCUUUGCCUUUGAGGUCUUCCUCCCACUUGUUCACUGUGGCUUGAAAUUCCUUUACCAGGGGAAGAAUUCUUCCAAAGGAGUCAAGUUUCAAGUCCUCAUAGUUCUUUUGGCAUUUAUGAGAAAUAUCAUUGGAUUUGUCCUUCUCAAGGGCUUUGAGUGUUAAUGAAAAGAUUUAAUUUCAACCUUAAAAUUAUAAAAAGAAUCACGAAUUAUAUUUUAGGAAGUAUGUGAUUGUUACGGAUGAAGGGUCUUUUAGAAACCUCUUUAGCCGUGUGAUCCUAGCAAGACAUCAUAAUCAUUCUAGACCUCAAACCACUCUUCUUUAAAAGGAAGCAGUUGUACAGAUGAUUGCUUAGAUCUGUUCCAGUUUCAAAAUGUUAUGAUUGUCUAUUUUCAUAGUUAGAAAAACAGUACAUACAUUAUGGGUUCCAGCCGUAAUAUUGAUUAAAGCUUACACUGAACUAUUUACGCUUGAUAUUAAAUCCUUUCCUGAGAUCAGUAUUGAUCACAAGAAAAGGAGGGAGCAUAGAAUGAUGAGGAGAAAACAAAGCAGAGAAAAGCACUUUAAAAGUGUCAGAAGCAAGCUGCAGACAGGAUUGGAGUCUCAGUUUGCUGCUUAAUCUCGGUGACCUUGGGCAGGCUGCACAACCUUUCUUUUUGCCUCUGUUUUCCAAAUGUGUAAGCUGCUGUGGCCCCGUUCAGAGGUUUCCAGCAGUUGGAAGAGUGACUGGCACAUGGGAAGGCUCUGGGGGAUGUGGAGGGGGGCUGACUCUUUAUUAAUGGGGGCUCUUCCUAAGCCACAUCCUGGUUGGCAGCAGUUUGGGGUGACCCUUCCUUAAUUCAAGAUCAGCUGUGAAACUGGGAGUAGAAGGAGGUAAAGGGCAGAAUGGAGGUUCAAGUCUUGGCUUUAACACACUGGUAAUGCAAUGGGAAGUGACACCCACGUUUUAUGGACCUCAACCCAAGGAGCUCCAUAAAAACCCAUGACUGGCAUAGCUCCUGAAAGACCUACUUAGUUUUUUCCCUUUUGGCUCUGCAAUUUGUGUGGAUUUUGAGAAAGGUAUUAUAUUUAAAAAAAGGCAUAUUUUCAGAGUUUAAAUGAUUUAUACAGUUUUUUUUUAAGGUUUAAUAAAGGUUC